rnacentral:rRNA from 1 species
AUUGAACGCUGGCGGCAGGCCUAACACAUGCAAGUCGAGCGAGCGGCGGACGGGUGAGUAAUGUAUGGGGACUGCCCGAUAGAGGGGGAUAACUACUGGAAACGGUGGCUAAUACCGCAUACUAUCGGAUAACCCAUAUGGGAUUAGCUAGUAGGUGGGGUAAAGGCUCACCUAGGCGACGAUCUCUAGCUGGUCUGAGAGGAUGAUCAGCCACCCUGGGCCUGGGACCCGCCCCAGACUCUUAGGGGGGCAGAGGUGGGGAUUAUUGCACAAUGGGGGCAAGCCUAAUGCAGCAAGGCCGCGUGUAGGAAGAGGGCCUAGGGUUGUAAAGUACUUUCAGCGGGGAGGCGUUACCCGCAGAAGAAGCACCGGCUAACUCCGUGCCAGCAGCCGCGGUAAUUC